GUGUGGUUCAGACACCAUUGCCUGCUGUGCUGUUCCAGUUCAAAUCCUAGGCAUGCUGGAGACAAUUACAGAGGUGAGAGACCCGUUUCCGUGUACCACAAUGGAGGAAGUGGACCUUUUUGAGCAACGGCUCAAAGAUCCCGUCAACAUUCUAAUGAGUGGUGAGUUUUUUUGUUUUAAGAAUCUCACGCAAAGCUGAUUAAAAUCUAUUGUAUGUAAUUUACACUAGACAAUACCAUGUUUGAUGGAAAUGUUUUUUCAAACAUUCUGUAAAGUAUCAAAUAUUAAUCGUACUUUUUCGAUCCAUUUUCGAUUUCCUCCCUGGCAACGAUCGGACGACAUGAUGCCAAACGUGGAACAUCCUCGAAUGAAUGGAAAAAAAUUAUUCAGUCAAAUGACAUCUAAGACUGCUCCUGCAUGCCGUCAGAAAGAAUCAUGCCACACAUGCAUCCACUGAUGAACAGAUUCUAAAGCAUGCCAUUAGGUGGUUCAACCUGGCAGCAA